CACUUCUUAGUUUUUCUUUCAGUGUGGGAAGAUAUGGCUCACUUUACAGUUCCCCCAUUUCCUAAGAGUGAAUUGUGAUUUCUGUCACAAUGAUUUCCAACUCUGGUUCUCAAAGAAGUAUUUAAAUUUUUUAUGCUCUGAAGUGAUGACAUUUGAGCUUCUACCACAGACAGCUCUACAUUAAAAGUGGUCUCUCCUUACUAUCUGCUUCAGUAGAAUAGGAAACAACAAACAGAAAACUGUGGUCUGCAGAAGCCCUAAGAAGCUUCAGAGGUAACUACCAACAGAAAUCAUGAUUAAGGCAGAAAAAAAGAAAAAGAACAAAACAAGUAAGUAAACAAACAAAUAAACCCCACAUA